UACGAAGGGAGCUAGCGUUGUUCGGAAUCACUGGGCGUAAAGCGCACGUAGGCGGAUGUGUCAGUCAGGGGUGAAAUCCCGGAGCUCAACUUCGGAACUGCCCUUGAUACAGCACGUCUUGAGUCCGGAAGAGGUGGGUGGAAUUCCUAGUGUAGAGGUGAAAUUCGUAGAUAUUAGGAGGAACACCGGUGGCGAAGGCGGGUCUCUGGGCCGAUACUGACGCUGAGGAGCGAAAGCGUGGGGAGCAAACAGG
rnacentral:rRNA from 1 species